rnacentral:rRNA from 1 species
AGAGUGCGUAAUAGCUCACUAGUCGAGUGACUCUGCGCCGAAAAUGUACCGGGGCUAAAUACACCACCGAAGCUGCGAAUUGAUACCAAUGGUAUCAGUGGUAGGGGAGCGUUCUAAGGACAGUGAAGUCAGACCGUAAGGACUGGUGGAGUGCUUAGAAGUGAGAAUGCCGGUAUGAGUAGCGAAAGACGGGUGAGAAUCCCGUCCACCGAAUGCCUAAGGUUUCCUGAGGAAGGCUCGUCCGCUCAGGGUUAGUCAGGACCUAAGCCGAGGCCGACAGGCGUAGGCGAUGGACAACAGGUUGAUAUUCCUGUACCACCUCUUUAUCGUUUGAGCAAUGGAGGGACGCAGAAGGAUAGAAGAAGCGUGCGAUUGGUUGUGCACGUCCAAGCAGUUAGGCUGAUAAGUAGGCAAAUCCGCUUAUC